GAAUGCAGUAUUUACCAUAACUCAGAAGGUAAGAAAAUUAUGUUGUAUUUAAGAUAUGCACAAUAUUAUUUCUUAAUUUUUCACUAUCUAUAGAUAUUUCAUUCCUGACUAUAUUAUUUUCUGCUUAUGCAUGUCUACUUCUGAAUAUUUUGUGUCAAUUUGGUAGUAAAAACUGGCACUGAAAGGAACUCAAUUAAAAUAAAGGCUAUAUGAACGAAAUCCUCAAAGAGUGUGAUUCAAUGAUAAGGGCCUUAUUGUUAACCGGAAAUCUGGGGAAUAAUCAAUCUUCUUUUACCAAAAUGAGACAUUGUUGCUUCUUUCAAGGAUUGAAGUUUAUGGAAAGAGAGCUGGAAAGCUCACUAGCUUUUAGUAGCUUUUUGACUGAGUUUGAAGCGAUUCACCAAGAUGAAAAAAAGUUCAAGGAUCAUGCGUCUGAAGAAUUCCUGAAAUUUACUUAGGUAACUUUGCUAAAUGUCACAGUUAUGAGGAUCUGCCGACAAAAUGAUGUUGGGGGAGCAAUACUCAGUUUUAUAUCCAUUUUCCUUUCUUCGAAGCUAACCCCACCAUUAGCAGAAAAGAAGUGGCUUGAAGGUGCUAAAAGAAGCUCUUGACAUAAAUCUUUGUGGCAAGCGAUCGAUACACUUCUUGAGAUGCUUAGCAAGGACAGCAAAACACCUGAUGUGUUCAUUUAAAUGGAAACCAUGAGACGUGUUCGUAUAGGGAUGGCUUAAGUAUUUCUCAGAAAACAUAUCCAUAACUGGUAUUUUACUUCAUGGGCGAAUUCCAAGUAAUCACUGUUGGCUCAAGCAAGUGGGGAGGAGAGAAGGGGAAGGAUCUCAACUUCAUAGCUAAUACCAGUUGCGAAAAGAGAAGCGGGACAAGUUUCCACUGAUACAAAAUGUCCACUGACCCUCAUUCCAGAGAACAGUUCUUCUCAUACUCUAGAAUCUAAAAAUUCGGAAUUGGACAUGCGGCUGAAUUUGAUACUUUCAUCAAAUACUAUUGCAAAAAGAAGGCUUAUAGCAAUGAAGUUCUAUUGAGUGACUGACUUUUACAAGAAGUGCAAUUUCUUUUGUACGGUUGCCCUUGCAUAUUUCAUAUUGUGUAUGACAUAAUUACUGAAAUGAAUGUACAUUGUAUGGAGAUAUUAUGUAAAUAUCUAAUCAGCAUGAUUAUAUGUUUUCUUUA